CUGAGGACAGAGAAGAAAGGGGUCAGGGGAUACCCGAGAGGCUGCGCUCCAGACCUAAGGCUCCUGACCCCGCCCAUCUCUGGCCCCGCCUAUUUGGGCCACGCCCACUUCUCCCGCGGUCACUGCCCACACCUCGGUUCUUAGCUACUGAGUGUGCGCUGUAACUUUCCUCUUCCGGUCGAUGAUGCAGGAGGACCUGGGUAGGACCGUUCAGUGCUCUGCAGCUGGGACCGGGGGCCCACUCUGGACAGUGGAACCAGCACCUAUGGCUGAAGCGGUGCCCUGAGCCCUGAGAGACCCCAGGACUACCCCCGAG
rnacentral:lncRNA from 1 species